ensembl:lncRNA
CGGGUAACCACGGCAACCGCGUCCGCGCCGCAGGUGACCGUCGGCUGCUUUUCCUGCUGGCGCUCCUCCGCACCGCUUCCCCCCGCGGCCUGCUGGGAGAAAUCCGCAGAUGAUAAAAGAGCCUCGUGGGCGCCGGGGGGGGGGGGGUCUGAAUGCGUACCUGGACUAAUAGUAUUGUGGUGUGUACCACUAGGGAGAAGAAGUACUCCACAGGUAGAAACAACACAGAGUUUGCAUUUGUUCCCUGUAGCAAGUGCUGAAGCCCCCCAGGGACACUUAACCCGAUGAAACGAGGCUUUGCACCAAAUACGGAACGGAUCCCUCUCGCCCGAAGCCGUAAACAAAUAACAUCCAUUCAUGUUGUUCUGUUGAGGCCUGAUUGUGUCCUGAUACUGUGCUGAUGAACCACCUGAGACGAGGAACUACAACAUCAGCUUCUAGAUCUGCGAUGCUGAACAUGAGGAUGGACGGCGCUGCGGAUGCUGGAUUCGAGGCAGAUGAAGCUGAUGUGAAAUCUGAAAGGAACAUUACAGUGUGGCUGCCUGAUCAAUGGGGCUGAUGCAUGCUGGUCCAGGAUCUAUAGGGGGCGGAGCUUCAUUAACGCAGACAACUCUUCCAUCCGUCUUCUGAAAUCAGCAUCUGUCGUUUCCUGAGGAGGAGAGGAGAGGAGGAGAGAGGAGAGAGGAGAGGAGGAGGAGAGGAGAG